ACAUAUCAACCCCAUAAGGAUUUUGGUCUCUAUGGUGGCUUGGAUUUGGGGGCUUGCUGGUCAUUAAUUUGGUCGGCUCUCCUUAAAUGCAUUAGCUUUGGACUUGUUCUGUAGGCUGCUUGGCGUGAUAAUUAUCUACGCUUUGCAAUCGUCUGUGGAAUAUUAUGAGUCUAGCUUCUAAUCGUCCUCUGGACAAUCUAAAUUCG
rnacentral:misc_RNA from 1 species